rnacentral:rRNA from 1 species
UAUGGUCAAGUUACUAAGGGUGUAUGGGGGAUGUCUUGGCGUCGAGAGGCGAUGAAGGACGUGGCUGGCUGCGAUAAGCCCGGGGCAGGUGUCUAGCAACCGUUAAUCCCGGGAUCUCCGAAUGGGGUAACCCAAUAAGACUGGGCAACCAGAUCUUAUUAUCCAUGGCUGAAUGUAUAGGCCAUGUGAAGCGAACGCAGGGAACUGAAACAUCUAAUUACCUGUAGGAAAAGAAAUCAACCGAGACUCCGUAAGUAGCGGCGAGCGAAAGCGGAAUAGCCCAAACCGAGAAGCUUGCUUCUCGGGGUUGCGGGCGUCGACAUAAACAGAAGGAUAGUUAGCAAAACGGUCUGGAAAGUCCGACCAUAGAAGGUGAAAGUCCUGUAUGCGAAAACUUGAGAUCUGCGUUGACGUACCAGAGUAGCACGGAGCUCGUGGAACUCUGUGUGAAGCUGGGGGGUCCACCCUCCAAGGCUAAGUACUACUCGACGACCGAUAGCGUAUAGUAGCGUGAGCAAAAGAUGAAAAGUACCCCUAUUAGGGGAGUUAAAAGUACCUGAAACCAUACACCUACAAGCUGUGGGAGCCCUAUGAUCUGUCUUCGGACAGGUAACGGGUGACCGCGUGCCUUUCGCAUAAUGAGCCGGCGAGUUACCGUUUGUGGCAAGGUUAAGCAUUUAAGAUGCGUAGCCGUAGCGAAAGCGAGUCUUAAUAGGGCGAAUCAGUCGCAGGUGGUAGACGCGAAACCAGGUGAUCUACCCAUGGGCAGGUUGAAGGGGAUGUAAAAGUCCCUGGAGGACCGAACACACUAACGUUGAAAAGUUAGGUGAUGACCUGUGGGGAGGAGUAAAAGUCUAAUCAAACCUGGAGAUAUCUCGUUCUCUCCGAAAUAGCUUUAGGGCUAGCCUUGAGGAACUACUUUACAGGGGUAGAGCUACUGAAUGGGGAUAGGGGGCCACCAGCCUACCUACCCCAACCAAACUCCGAAUACUGUAAAGAC